rnacentral:rRNA from 1 species
GAAGUAAAAGUCGUAACAAGGUUUCCGUAGGUGAACCUGCGGAAGGAUCAUUAUUGAAUAAACUUGGUUGGGUUGCUGCUGGUUCUUCGGAACAUGUGCACACCUGGCGCCAUUUUUACCACCUGUGCACCUUUUGUAGACCUGGAUAUCUCUCGAGGAAACUCGGUUUGAGGACUGCUGUGCGCAAGCCAGCUUUCCUUACAUUUCCGGUCUAUGUUUUUAUAUACCCCAUCAGAAUGUAACAGAAUGUCAUUAAUAGGCCUUGGUGCCUUUAAAUAAAAUACAACUUUCAACAACGGAUCUCUUGGCUCUCGCAUCGAUGAAGAACGCAGCGAAAUGCGAUAAGUAAUGUGAAUUGCAGAAUUCAGUGAAUCAUCGAAUCUUUGAACGCACCUUGCGCUCCUUGGUAUUCCGAGGAGCAUGCCUGUUUGAGUGUCAUUAAAUUCUCAACCUUUCUGGCUUUUAUUAGUCCGUUAGGCUUGGAUGUGGGAGUUGCGGGCUUCUCAGAAGUCAGCUCUCCUUAAAUGCAUUAGCGAAACCUUUGUUGACCAUCUCUGGUGUGAUAAUUAUCUACGCCAUUGGGAAGCAGCUUUAAAAUCGGUUUAGCUUCUAACCGUCUUCUGGACAAUUCUUGACAUUUGACCUCAAAUCAGGUAGGACUACCCGCUGAACUUAAGCAUAUCAAUAAGCGGAGGAAAAGAAACUAACAAGGAUUCCCCUAGUAACUGCGAGUGAAGCGGGAAAAGCUCAAAUUUAAAAUCUGGUAGUCCUUGCGGCUGCCCGAGUUGUAAUCUAGAGAAGCGUUAUCCGCGCUGGACCGUGUACAAGUCUCCUGGAACGGAGCGUCAUAGAGGGUGAGAAUCCCGUCUUUGACACGGACUACCAGGGCUUUUGUGAUGCGCUCUCAAAGAGUCGAGUUGUUUGGGAAUGCAGCUCUAAAUGGGUGGUAAAUUCCAUCUAAAGCUAAAUAUUGGCGAGAGACCGAUAGCGAACAAGUACCGUGAGGGAAAGAUGAAAAGAACUUUGGAAAGAGAGUUAAACAGUACGUGAAAUUGUUGAAAGGGAA